CUCAGGGGUCCUUCCUGCUCUGACCUCUCAGGCACAAUCUCCUGGGACUGGGACCCCCGUAGGCCCUUCUCUUUGAAUCCUCAGCAACGGGAACGGAAGUGUUGUGGAGGAAGCAGCUUCUACGCUAAGAGGAGAGGCAGUGAGUAGCUGGGUCAGGAAGCAGCCCAGGUGGGGGCCUGGAGGCUCAGCUGAGCACCAGGUCCUGAGCUGGCACCCACAGAAGAGCAGAGCAGAUGACACUGAGAGCUGGUGAGUCCUGUCCCCUCAGCAGCCAGCACAGACGGCGGAUGGCCCCAUGCUCAGAAAAGGACCUCGGAGGGCACGAGUGGUGGAAGGAGCAGAGAAGCCUGGAGAGGGGCUGGGGCAAGGGGACAGUAGCCAGGCAGGGGAUCCUCUCUGCGGAUCCCAGACCCUGUUCCCCGCCUGCCUGCUUCCCAGGAGCUGUUGAUGGAGGAAGUCGUGCACUCCAGGCUCUGGGCCUGGUUCGAGAUGCUGAGAGGCCUCUGUGAAAGGGAAGACAUGGGAGGGCGGGAAUCUCUCGGUGGGGCAGGGCAGGGAGGGGGCAUGGGAAGUUCCAUGUGGAAGGCCCGGGACUCAGGGUGGGCCAGGGCUCAAAAGAGCGAAAGCAGCCCCCUCGGCAGAGAGGGGUCUAGCCAGCCCAGGGGGUGGCCCGGACAUCCAAACUGCCUUGGAUGGAGAAAGCUGUUUAAUCUCCCUAUGGAAAUCAGGAAGUUGGAACCCACACAGCUGAUGGCAAGGCCAGAGGAGCGAUUUCAGAGGAAAGAUUAAAAGAAUUAAAGUCAACUCAGAAGGGAGCAGACGAGAGGGAGCUAGGGGCAGGUGGGGAGCUCAGGGGUUGUCUGCAAGGCCCCUGCACCCUGAACCCAACUGAGGGUGCUUCUAGGGGCAGGGGGUGGGGAGUCCUGCUGAGGUGCAGUCCGUGGGUAAGGGUUGACCCUGUCAUCCAUGGGGGAUUCUGUUGGGGUGAGAGGGAAUACCACAGGGGGCUGAAGAUCUUGAGAGAGGUCUGAGAGGAGAUAGAGAGAGGCCAGGAACACAGUCUAAGCCCAGAUUUCAAGUCCAGGCAGGUCCACUCUUGGAGGCGGGGUGUGGGGAGCAGCUCUGUGCCAUGGAGCCUGGUCCUCUCAACUAUCCCUCUCCUCCAGGCCUGGAAACUCCAGCCCCAAACCUUCUGGCUAAGCAGGAAACGAGGGCAAGACAUGCGUAUGGUGGGUGGGUUUUCCUUAGCAGAAUGUGUCACUGAGGCCACCUUGGGGCUGAGGGGCAGAAACAGGGGCUAUUGUCCCAGAAGACCCCAUGUUGAGGGACAAGGACAGCCUUCCGGGCAAUGGCCUUGUAUUGCUCCAGGUCCAGACCAGAGAGCCAGGGCCAGAGGGUAGCUGGGGCUCAGGCAGGGAUUCUGGUGGCUCCUCUGCUCUGCUGUGUGCUCUAGCCACACACAUGUGUGCACACACACGCACACACAUGCACACACAUGCAUGCACACACAGGCA
rnacentral:lncRNA from 10 species